UACGUAGGUGGCAAGCGUUGUCCGGAUUUACUGGGCGUAAAGCGUGCGCAGGCGGUUGUGCAAGACAGAUGUGAAAUCCCCGGGCUUAACCUGGGAAUUGCAUUUGUGACUGCACGGCUAGAGUGUGUCAGAGGGGGGUAGAAUUCCACGUGUAGCAGUGAAAUGCGUAGAUAUGUGGAGGAAUACCGAUGGCGAAGGCAGCCCCCUGGGAUAACACUGACGCUCAUGCACGAAAGCGUGGGGAGCAAACAGG
rnacentral:rRNA from 1 species